rnacentral:rRNA from 1 species
UGGGGAAUAUUGGACAAUGGGCGAAAGCCUGAUCCAGCCAUGCCGCGUGGGUGAAGAAGGCCCUCGGGUUGUAAAGCUCUUUUGUUGGGAAAGAAAUCCUGUUGGCUAAUACCCGGCAGGGAUGACGGUACCCAAAGAAUAAGCACCGGCUAACUUCGUGCCAGCAGCCGCGGUAAUACGAAGGGUGCAAGCGUUACUCGGAAUUACUGGGCGUAAAGCGUGCGUAGGUGGUGGUUUAAGUCUGUUGUGAAAGCCCUGGGCUCAACCUGGGAAUUGCAGUGGAUACUGGAUCACUAGAGUGUGGUAGAGGGUGGCGGAAUUCCCGGUGUAGCAGUGAAAUGCGUAGAGAUCGGGAGGAACACCCGUGGCGAAGGCGGCCACCUGGGCCAACACUGACACUGAGGCACGAAAGCGUGGGGAGCAAACAGGAUUAGAUACCC